GAAGCGGCAAAAGCUCAAAUUUGAAAUCUGCGUAAGCCGAGUUGUAAUUUGAAGAUGGCUACUUUGGUAAUGGCUCUUGUCUAUGUUCCUUGGAACAGGACGUCACAGAGGGUGAGAAUCCCGUGCGAUGAGAUGUCCAUUACCGUGUAAAGUGCUUUCGAAGAGUCGAGUUGUUUGGGAAUGCAGCUCUAAGUGGGUGGUAAAUUCCAUCUAAAGCUAAAUAUUGGCGAGAGACCGAUAGCGAACAAGUACAGUGAUGGAAAGAUGAAAAGAACUUUGAAAAGAGAGUGAAAAAGUACGUGAAAUUGUUGAAAGGGAAGGGCUUGAGAUCAGACUUGGUAUUUUGUAUGGCUUGCUUUCGGGCGGGUCCUCUGCAGUUUACUGGGCCAGCAUCGGUUUGGGUGGCAGGAUAAUAGCAUUGGAAUGUGGCUCUACUUCGGUGGAGUGUUAUAGCCUUUGUUGAUACUGCCUGCCUAGACCGAGGACUGCGUCUUUUGACUAGGAUGCUGGCAUAAUGAUCCUAAGCCGCCCGUCUUGA
rnacentral:rRNA from 1 species